GAUAUAGCCGUUACUUUUGGUUUCCAUUCUCUAGUCAAGGAUCUUAGAACUUUAAGAUUGAGAUCAUCAUUUGUAAAGGUCUUUCCGAGAGUAAUUAAAUGAUUCGUCAAGUGAACAAAUCUUUUCUGCAAUGCAACAAUGGAUUCUUCGGGCUGCAUUCUGAACAUUUCAUAUUCUUGACUCAAUGUGUUUAAUCUGGAUUUUUU
rnacentral:lncRNA from 1 species